CAAAUUGAGGACCAGUAAUAAUUCUUCUUCUUCUUCUUCAGUACGGAAGAUGUUCGACUCCAUUCCUCAAAAGUUGCAUUUAUCUUCUCUCCAUUCCUCAAAAAUUGCAUGGUCGUACCAGCCUGAUGGAUGAUUGGAUCUCACCCCUAUGUUCUUGAAAAGGGUGAUGUUCUAACUCAAAUUUUGUGCCACAGGGAGUAUGGAAGAUUUCUAGAAGCCGUAGCCCGAGAAGGCCUGCAAGAGGAAGAAGCACCAGCAACAGCCGCAGCAGCAGCUCCCCUUCUCCAAGAGCCAAUUAGCACCUUGGUUCUUAGCAGGUAGGUAUGCCUCUCUCUCUCUCUCUCUCUCUCUCUCUCUCUCUCUCCUGGUUUCAUCAUGUCUGUUGGGUGCAAUCUGGGAAGCGAAAGGCUGGAACAUGUAGAAAGUAACUUUAGAAGCUGGAAGUUGGUGCUGAUAUCAAAGACACUGUAGGUUGGUGGGUUUUAGUGUCUAGAGAGUUGUGUUGGGUCUUCAGUACUCAGGUAUGGGCUGGCUAGUUUGGGCAUUUUACUUUAGAACAUGUAUGGUGCUAUUGACAUAGGCGGGUUAUGGAUAAAUUCCUACUUGGAUUUUUUUUAGUACCCCCGAAAACAUUGAGGCAGUUGAAUUUGGUCAUGAUAUAAACAUGCACUAGAAACAUGGUUAUAAAUGCAUGGAUUGUUGAUAUAUUUACCUGUUGGUUAUUAUCUCUG